GACGAACGCUGGCGGCGUGCUUAACACAUGCAAGUCGAACGAUGAUCCGGGUGCUUGCACCUGGGGAUUAGUGGCGAACGGGUGAGUAACACGUGAGUAACCUGCCCUGGACUCUGGGAUAACCCCGAGAAAUCGGAGCUAAUACCGGAUAGGACCUUUCCUCGCAUGAGGUGGGGUGGAAAGUUUUUUCGGUUUGGGAUGGACUCGCGGCCCAUCAGCUUGUUGGUGAGGUAAUGGCUCACCAAGGCGUCGACGGGUAGCCGGCCUGAGAGGGUGACCGGCCACACUGGGACUGAGACACGGCCCAGACUCCUACGGGAGGCAGCAGUGGGGAAUAUUGCACAAUGGGCACAAGCCUGAUGCAGCAACGCCGCGUGCGGGAUGACGGCCUUCGGGUUGUAAACCGCUUUUAGUAGGGAAGAAGCCUCUUGGGGUGACGGUACCUGCAGAAAAAGGACCGGCUAACUACGUGCCAGCAGCCGCCGUAAAAC
rnacentral:rRNA from 1 species